ACCUGGCUCCUUGGUUACUUUAUGGCGCCCUCAGGCCGCGAUGUCUUCGGGUUUCCGCUUUACCCCCAAGUGUUAGGGCCACCAUGCCCUUUUCACUUCUUCCCCGGCGCCCAGAGAGGCAGGCUGUUGAGCCCAGCUUGGGACACAGAGCGUCCCUCACCAAAGCACAUCAGCAAUCGCUGCCACAUUCCCCAGUUCCCUUGGAUCAGCGGUUGGGGAGGUUCUUCUUUCCUUUCAUCGCGCUUUCAUGCCCUCUUCAGUGACUCCAGCACGUCCUCUGAAUGCUUGCUAUGGACUCAAACAUACUCAACAUUCACGCACAAAAGGAGCCCAAUAAAAAUGUCUGGGAGAAGAAAGGAGGCGGCAAGUUCAUGGUCUUCUACACCCUGCAAGACAUCAUUACUCCUUCCUUCCUCUCUGUCAUCGGACUGUAAACUCUCAGAGCAGGAGAUCUUAUUCUGGUAUUUCUAUCCUCAGCAUCCAGCACUGUAAUCGGCACAUAGAAGGUGAUUAAUAGAUCUUGCCCAAAGCGUAACUUAAGAAAUUGCUGAGCCCAAUAUCUGAGAUUUUUGGAGACAGCUUUGAAAGGACUUUUUAACUAUACAGAGUCAUUUAAGCAGGAGAACAUAAGACAAGUGGAAAAGGCACUACGUGUUGGAUUCUCCCAACCAAGAAAGCAACAGUGAUAAUCACUGAGCAACUGGAGUGAAGGAGAAGGAAAAUCGCCUCAGGGGGAGCGAAGAAUGAAAAUGGUCACCGAAGUUGCGUUACCUGAAAUAACUUCGUUGAAAAAGAAUAACAGAACUUCCUGCUCCCCCUUCCACCAAACUUUAAAAAAUAAAAAGUCCUACCACCCACAAA